CUCCUCCUUCCUCUCUUCCUUCCUCUCCCGGCGGGCCCGCAGCCGCCCUUCCUUCCGCCGGGCGCGAUGGGGCCGGAGCGCGGGGCGGCCGCGGCGCUGCUGGCGCUGCUGUGCGCGGGCUGCGCGCUGCGCUCGGGGCGCGCCCAGUACGAGCGCUACAGCUUCCGCAGCUUCCCGCGGGACGAGCUGAUGCCGCUCGAGUCGGCCUACCGCCACGCGCUGGACCAGUACAGCGGCGAGCACUGGGCGGAGAGCGUGGGCUACCUGGAGAUCAGCCUGCGGCUGCACCGCCUGCUGCGCGACAGCGAGGCCUUCUGCCACCGGAACUGCAGCGCGGCGCCCGAGCCCGAGCCCGAGCCCGAGCCCGAGCGCGCCGCCGCCCUGGCGCGCUACCCCGAGCUGCGCCUCUUCGGGGAUCUGCUGCGCCGGGCGCACUGCCUUAAGCGCUGCAAGCAGGGCCUGCCCGCCUUCCGCCAGUCGCAGCCUAGCCGCGACGUGCUGGCCGACUUCCAGCGCCGCGAGCCCUACAAGUUCCUGCAGUUCGCCUACUUCAAGGCAAAUAAUCUUCCAAAAGCCAUUGCCGCGGCCCACACCUUCCUUCUGAAGCAUCCCGAGGACGAGAUGAUGAAGAGGAACAUGGCCUAUUACAGGAGCCUGCCCGAUGCCGAGGACCACAUCAAAGACCUGGAGACCAAGUCCUAUGAGAACCUGUUCAUUCGCGCCGUGCGGGCCUACAACGGUGAGAACUGGCGCACGUCCAUCACCGACAUGGAGCUGGCCCUGCCCGACUUCUUCAAGGCCUUUUAUGAGUGUCUGGCAGCCUGCGAGGGCUCCAGGGAGAUCAAGGACUUCAAGGAUUUCUAUCUGUCCAUAGCAGAUCAUUACAUAGAAGUUCUGGAAUGCAAAAUACAGUGUGAAGAGAGCCUCACACCUGUGGUCGGGGGCUACCCGGUGGAGAAAUUCGUGGCUACCAUGUAUCACUAUUUGCAGUUUGCUUAUUAUAAGUUGAACGACCUCCAGAACGCGGCUCCCUGUGCUGUCAGCUACCUGCUCUUCGACCCCCAGGACAAGGUCAUGCAGCAGAACCUGGUGUAUUACCAGUACCACAGAGACAAGUGGGGCCUCGCCGACGAGCACUUCCAGCCCCGGCCGGAAGCAGUUCAGUUCUUCAAUGUGACGACGCUCCAGAAAGAGCUGUAUGACUUUGCUAAGGAGAAUCUCAUGGAUGAUGACGAGGGAGAGGUAAUCGAGUAUGUGGACGACUUCCUGGAGACGCAGGAGACGGGCUAGUCAUGGCGACCAGAGACCUGCCGCGGACAUUCUGGAAGCAGUCUUUGUCUUCCUUUCCUCAGUAGGCCACGUGGUUGAUACCUCAGAGUCUUCUCUUUCCUCUGUGACAUGGAAGGGAAGGCCCCAUCUCUCACUACACACAGCUCGGGGUCACACCCGGCGAUGCACAGGGGUCACUCCUGGCUCUGCAUGCAGGAAUUACUCCUGGCGGUGCUCGGGGGACCAUAUGGGAUGCUGGGAAUCGAACUCGGGUCGGCCGCGUGCAAGGCAAACGCUCUACCCGCUGUGCUAUCACUCCAGCCCCAGGUGCCACUUCUGGAUGUGGGGAAGGUGGAUGUUGGGUGGCUAAGCCAGGAAGCUGGCACAGAGCAGGCUGCUGGGAUUGAGAAGGGGAGUUUCCGGUUGCAAAUAAAACUGGAGCACUUUCUCACAACAGGUCUUGAAGUAGAGCUUCAAAUAGUGACCUGAAUGCAUGCGCUUUAUUGGGACUGGGAGUGUAUUCAGAAACCUGUGAAGGCCUCUCAGAGUCUGAUACUGGCUCUGGGGGGGUUUCACAGGGCACAGGGGUGAAUUUUUUUUUCUUUUUGGGUCACACUCACGUGUUGCUCAGGGGUUACUCCUGGCUUUGCACUCAGGAAUCACUGCUGGCGGUGCUCACUGAUGGGAUGCUGGGAAUCGAACCUGGGUUGGCCACGUGUAAGGCAAACACCCUACCUGCUGUGCUAUCAUUCCAGCCCCAGGGGUGAAUUUUUUUUUUUCCCCAGGGGUGAAUUUUUGAAGCAAAAUAUAGUCUGCUAAUGCAGCUGACGGGCACAUUUCAGGGACCAUGUGGUGCAGAAAAUAAUUUAGUUCAGAGUUUGAACUUACAAGACUUGUCUGCUAACACCAGAGCCACAUCCUCUGCCCCCAAGGCCAUUUUGUUUGUUGGUUUUGGCCACACUAAGCGAUAUUGAGGGCUUACUCCUGGCUCUGCACUCAGGAAUUACUCCUGGCGCUGCUCUGGAAACCAUAUGGGAUGCCGGGGAUUGAACCCGGGUUGGCCGUGUGCAAGGCCAGUGCCUUACUGUACUAUUGCUCCAGCCCCUCCUGAGCAUUAUUUAGAGGGGGGCUGUUGCCUUGAGUGCAGCCCACAGGCUCAGAUGGAGUUGUGGGGUGUUGCCUACAUUGCCUCAGGGAGGAGAACCUGGGAGAAGCCCCACAGCACCCCCUGCUGGACCCAGGCGUCAAUGGCACUUGAAGCUGAGGCUGGCUGGGUCUUCUCCUCACGUGAGGUAAUUUCAAAGCAGGAGAAAAGGGCCUAGGAUAGCCCCUAGCAGUGAGAACCCUACCAGGAAGACAGAGCAGAGCCUGGGGUGCUGAUGUUCAGGAGCUUGAUUAUUUUUUUUCUGGGGACACAACCGUCGUGCCCUGGGACCACUCCCAGUGGUGUUGGGUGGUAGGGUGAGGGGGACCAUGCAGUGUCGGGGUUGAAACUGGGCCUCCCGCCUGCAGAGCACGUGCUCUGGCCCUUCCAGCCCUCCCCGAGUAGGCUCUCUGGGUGCCAGUGGGCGGUCGGGACGAGGUCAGCUUGAGGAAGCUCAUCAGCCAUGCAGGGCUGAGGGAAUGGCAGCGUCUUGGACCUGGCCUGAAGGUUCCCACAGACCUGCCCACACAUUGGCUUGUUUUCAGCAGACAGGCGGCCACUAGAGAACCUCAGAGCUCUGAGUCCAGGUUCCUCUGGGCUUGGGAGAAGCUGAUCGCUGACAGAAGCCCUCAGGAAAGAGCCUGAGGCGCUGUCUCUCUCUCUUUUUUUUUUUUUUUUUGCCUUUUUGGGUCACACCCGGCGAUGCACAGGGGUUAUUCCUGGCUCUGCGCUCAGGAAUUACUCCUGGCGGUGCUCAGGGGACCAUAUGGGAUGCUGAUGGGAUGCUGGGAAUUGAACCCGGGUCGGCCACGUGCAAGGCAAAUGCCCUACCCGCUGUGCUAUCGCUCCGGCCCCCAUAAGGCGCUGUCUCUAAUCAUUCAUGCUGGACACUCAGAGUGAAGGGCUAAGGGGAGCUUCGUGUGUCUGGGGGGCUUAUUAUUUUAUUCUGGGCCAUACCUGCUGUUGUUCAGGGCUUACUUAUGGCUCUGCACCCAGGGAUCACUUCUGGUGGCUCUCAGAUUGAACCUGACAGCCAAGGGCAAGGCUUGGAACCCUUUUAGUAGCUCUCCAGGCUCUCUGUUUCCAGGGGACAAUUUGGGGCCGGAGAGAUGGCUCAACGGCUCAAGGCACGGUUUGAUCCCCAACAUCACAUGGUUCCCCAAACACCACUGCAUGUGAUCCCAAAACCAAAGUAAAGAAAUGAAUGAAAGUAACUGAUGGUCCUCCAUACACCGACAUAAUCAAUUAACAAAUAUUGUCCCAGGCCACUGUUUGUGGUUUCAGUUCCCCGUGGUCCACCGGGUCUGAACAUAUUGGCUGUAAGAAAAUAGUCUCAGGGAGAAGGACCACAUUUACAUAGCUUUCCUUCAUGCAUGUUGUUAGGAUUGGUCUCGUCAGCCUAUUACUCUGCCUAAUUUCUAAAUCACGUUUGAACUGUACAUACAGAAACACUGUAAGGUGUUGGCGCUCCCAGACCCCCACGCGGGCCUUGGAACCUGUCUGAAGAAAAGAAAGGGUGCAUCUGUCUUUCCUGGGUCUUGCCAUGAUGAUUAUUGCCACUCACCUAUCGGGCUCACCUCCGAAAGCCAGGAGAAACCACCACGGCUGUCUUUGGCAGUGUGGCUCUCAGGAGCUUGCGCUCAGAUUUUCAUUUUUCAGAGCACAAAAAUUUUAUUGAGCCCAACUCAGUGGCAAACAGAAAAUGAUUUGUUAGGCUGUCGAUGGGAAAGGGUUUAUUAUGACUGCCGGUGGAAUAAACAGUGGUCGGUUUCUGCCCACAUUUAUGGAAAUCAGGUUUUUAAGUUUUAAAAUGUGAGCCGUAAACCUAAGCUACUUCAGUUUAAAAAAAAAAAUUUCAAUACUUAAACUGUGGGGGAAAGGUGGCUGGGUGCCAGCGAAAACAUUCUCACUUAAUAGUGUUUGGGCGUGGGGCGGUGGCACAGCUCGUAGCGAGGUACUGAGAAAAACCCACAACUAAUCCUUCAUCGCAGCUGUCUGAACUCUUGAUCAUCUGCCAUCCCUUAAACAGCGACUUCUUUUUUCUGCUAAGUCCAGGCUUGAAUGACCUAGUGUGGAGAGUUUAAACUCUAUGCGAGAGGGGAGGAGGGGAAGGAAAGGAACCUUAAAUAAGCAUCAGCCAAAGGUUUUGUACAUUGGAUUUCCUGUGCCCGCAGCCGGGCAAGGCACUUCUCUACCUCGUUCCGUGGCAUGGGACCCAGCAGGGACGACCCCACAACAGCCAGGCUUUGCCUUGCCUGACCCACUCCUAGCCCCAAGCAAACGUCCAGGGCUGGGCAUUGUGCCCUAGUGGAGAAGCCCCCUCCCAAGACAGGCACCUGGACCCCCAUAGCCAAGCGGCUCACCCUCAGCCACCUCGGCCACACAGCUAUGUGUCUUCUGUGGCUGCAGAAUGAAUGAGUUGGCUCACAGUCUUCUUGGAACUGAGCGGGUGAGAUACUGGCGCCCUUUCUUACAAGGAAAGACGGGAGAGAUGGAACCACCAGGCCCACAGCUACGAGAUCAACCCUGGAGUCUCGAGGCCCACUAGAGGAGGGGCAGCCAGAGGUCCACCGUGGCUGAUGUCCUCCUGCCUCCCCUUCGUGGGUUAGGGCAGUGAUGUACAAUCUCACUCUUGUGGGGCUUCAGGACUUGGGAGAUUGUUGGAAAAAAAAAAGAUAUUUGGAAAAUGACAAUAAGGGCUGGAGCGAUAGCACAGCGGUAGGGCAUUUGCCUUGCACGUGGCCAACCUGGGUUCGAUUCCUCCGCCCCUCUUGGAGAGCCUGGCAAGUUACUGAGGGUAUCUCGCCUGCAUGGCAGAGCCUGGCAAGCUACCUGUGGCGUAUUUGAUAUGCCAAAAAUAGUAACAACAAGUCUCAAAAUGGAGAUGUUACUGGUGCCCGCUCGAGCAAAUCGAUGAGCAACGGGAUGACAGUGACAGUGACAGUGACAAUAAGGGUCAGAGAGAUAGGACAAUGGGUAGGGUGCUUGCCCUGCAUGUAAAUAACCCAGGUUCAGUGCUCAGUAUUGCAUGUGGUCUGAGCACCGCCAGGAAGAGCUCUUGAGCACCACCAGGCAUGGUACAACAU